AGAAAACCACAGCUGUACUCCAGGGAGUGUGCUUUAUUCUCCAGCCCUUGAAGCACAACUUUUGUUUUGUGAGGGGAUAAAUGGCCUGCAGAGUGAGUGUGGACAAAGCCAGAGAAACACUACUUUGGCUUCUUAGAAGUCACCCUGCUGACUCUCCUGGUGACAUCAAUCAUAUCAUA